rnacentral:rRNA from 1 species
GAAUUAUUGGGCGUAAAGGGCUUGUAGGUGGCUUGUCGCGUCUGCCGUGAAAACUCGAGGCUUAACCUUGGGCGUGCGGUGGGUACGGGCAGGCUAGAGUGCGGUAGGGGAGACUGGAAUUCCUGGUGUAGCGGUGAAAUGCGCAGAUAUCAGGAGGAACACCGAUGGCGAAGGCAGGUCUCUGGGCCGUUACUGACACUGAGAAGCGAAAGCAUGGGGAGCGAACAGGAUUAGAUACCCUGGUAGUCCAUGCCGUAAACGUUGGGCACUAGGUGUGGGGAGCAUUCCACGUUUUCCGCGCCGUAGCUAACGCAUUAAGUGCCCCGCCUGGGGAGUACGGCCGCAAGGCUAAAACUCAAAGGAAUUGACGGGGGCCCGCACAAGCGGCGGAGCAUGCGGAUUAAUUCGAUGCAACGCGAAGAACCUUACCAAGGCUUGACAUGCACUGGAUCGCUGCAGAGAUGUGGUUUUCUUUGGACUGGUGCACAGGUGGUGCAUGGUUGUCGUCAGCUCGUGUCGUGAGAUGUUGGGUUAAGUCCCGCAACGAGCGCAACCCUCGUUCCAUGUUGCCAGCACUUCGGGUGGGGACUCAUGGGAGACUGCCGGGGUCAACUCGGAGGAAGGUGGGGACGACGUCAAAUCAUCAUGCCCCUUAUGUCUUGGGCUUCACGCGUGCUACAAUGGUCGGUACAAUGGGUUGCGAUACUGUGAGGUGGAGCUAAUCCCAAAAAGCCGGUCUCAGUUCGGAUUGGGGUCUGCAACUCGACCCUAUGAAGUCGGAGUCGCUAGUAAUCGCAGAUCAGCAAUGCUGCGGUGAAUACGUUCCCGGGCCUUGUACACACCGCCCGUCAAGUCACGAAAGUCGGUAACACCCGAAGCCGAUGGCCCAAGCUUUAUGCAGGGAGUCGUCGAAGGUGGGAUCGGUGAUUGGGACUAAGUCGUAACAAGGUAGCCGUACCGGAAGGUGCGGCUGGAUCACCUCCUUU